AAAAAGAAAAUAUUUUUUCCGUAGACAGUAGGUGCGAAAGCGUAAAAUAUAUUACCUACCUAGGUUAUGUAUAAUAGAUGAUAUUAUAGACCUUCCUUGUCUGCGGAAGGUCUUUUUUAGUAAAAGA
rfam:Clostridium puniceum strain DSM 2619 CLPTN_contig000053, whole genome shotgun sequence.